rnacentral:lncRNA from 10 species
GGGGCAGAGGUCAGGGAUGCUGUUCACUAUCCCGCAAUGCACUGGAAACUCCCCAAGAAGAAAGAACCAUCUGGCCUAAUGAACUGUGGACUCUGAAGCCAACUACCUAGGGUGAAAUCUCAGCUCUUGCACUCUGCAGCCAUGGGCAAAUUUCCUCAUCUCUAACAUGGGGUACCUGGGAUGAGCUUAUCAUGGAACAUAAGAAAAAUAAAACAGAUGUCAGCCUGUGUAUGAAGAAUUCAUCCACAAGAUUUGCUCACUCUUCAAUUCUUUCCCGAGCAAAACCAAGAAUCUUCUUGGGCUAAGCCCCAAUUUGGGGUUCACCUGCCUUGCAGCAACAUGGCACCAAACA